rnacentral:tRNA from 1 species
AAAAAUUUAGUUAAAAUAUAACAUUAGCCUGUCAAGCUAAAAUUAUUCUCUACAAUAAUUUUUA